rnacentral:sRNA from 1 species
GCCUCUGAUUGUGGACACAGUCUCUGCUGAGUCUCUCUCAGUGCUGGUGAAGGUGGUACGGCAGCUGUGUGAGCAGGCCCCCAGCACGUCUGUGCUCCUACUCAGCCCCCAGCCCAUGGGGAAGGUGCUGUGUGCCUGUCAGGUGGCCCAGGUGAGGGAAGUGGGAGAGCAGCCCACCGCCCCCAUUAAUACCCAUCCUGGUCCAGCUCUCUGAUUUUACACAUUUAAUUCCUCCCAGACAAAGGGGCCAAGGCUGGGUGGAAGUAUCUAAGAGGAUACUCCAGGACAGGGAUGGGGAAUCUCCUUGUUCCUGAAAACAGCCCCUCCCCACCCCAGAAGGCACCAAGAGAUUCCUUAAUUCCUAACCCCUCCCAGGCCUCACAUCCCUUGUAAACAAGUAGCAGAUGUUCACGUUCAUACACCUCCCCACACACAUUUCCAGCCCAAACCUUCUCCGGCUCAUCACCUGACUGCCCCACCAUGUGCCCAGCUGGGAAGGGGGCACUGAUGACCUUCAGCUCCACUCUUGAGGGUACCUUGAGUGGAUGCUGGCAGGGAGGGCCACUCUGCAUCGCUUCCUCUUCUGAUUCUGUUCCUAGGGUGCCAUGCCCACCUUCACAGCAGAGGCCUGGGCACUGGCAGUGUGCAGCCACAUGGGGGGCAAGGCGUGGGGCUCGCGAGUGGUGGCCCAAGGCACCGGAAGCACUACUGACCUGGAAGCUGCCCUCAGUAUAGCCCA